GUUCUUUUUAUUUUCAUGUGAUCUGUAUCUGUUCCGUUGUUUAAACUUAAAACAACUAGUUUUCACUCAGUUUUGGACUCUUAAAAGAGCCCAUGGGUUGGAGAAUCACGAGAUCACACAAUUUUGGUGUCGCAAACAGGAUGGUUAUGAAAACAAGAGUUUGAAAACUCUUUGCGGCGGCCGCAAAUGAGCUCGACGAAGGAGUGCUUCUCGCAGGUCAGAGGCAGUUAUGUAAAACAAGAGCUUCGUGGGCAUUAGUCCUUUCUGCGGGUCCUAGCAGCGGCAGCAACAGAGCUCGAAGAACUAAAGAAAAGUACAGAAGGGAUAAGCGGAGCGGCCAUUGUCGGGAGUAGGCCAGUGCUGAGAAUAGAAGAGACAGGCUUUGGCUCAUUCAGGCUUCGGCUAGCUGUCAAUGUGACCGGAGUGCAUCACAGAAUCGUUUUCGUUUUAUAAUCCUGCUCCAGUUCUCAAGUCUUUUUCUGUCGGACUCUCUCGAAAGAUAAUUGGCAGGUUUAUCAAAGGAAGACAGGAAGAAUCUGUGGAAAGAAAGAAAAAGACCUGCACUUCCAUAGAGUCAUGUGUGAAGCAGGGGGACAGGCCAAUUCACCCACAAUGUCCACACUAACCAUGAACACUCAUCAAUACUCACCCAACUUUCCAGCACGUACCUCAAGUCUUAACGGGAGAGUUUGAAUGAUUGAGGGGCUGAGCAAAUGAGUAAGCUGAAACAAGGAAGUUCUGAGGGAGCGAAGAUCUGAAGGAAGGAUGAGGGAUGGAGGGAGCUUAGAGGGAGGGUGUGAAGGAGCAGAGGACAUAUGCCAAACGAAGAGAGGUAUCUAAUAAAGCACCCACUGAGUGUAGAUCUAAAUAUUGAUGGAGGGGAAUCUGCAAUUGGUGUUUCCAACACACCUGCUGAUGACUCGUUCCUUCUUUGGCAUAGACAUGAGUUGCCAUUCUCAGCCCAAGCCUAAAUAUCAUCAAGGUCUUGCUGAUGUCCUAGACAAGACGUGACAGACAGAAAGGAACUGAGAAAAGGGGAUGACAUAUUUACAGAAAACAGGGUGGGAAGAGGUAUAGUUAUGAUAGCUGUGGAAAUUGUAUAAAAGAUGUCAGUAGACAUUUGUAUCCAGAGAUAGAGACGGAGGGAUUGAGAGAGGGGAGUUAGAUGUCAGAAAUGGACCAAGUGAAUUGAAGGGCAGGGUGGAGGUAGGAGGCAAAGCUGAUGAAGCAAACAAGCAUGAACGUAUGAGUGCAUGAAGCAGUACCAAUGUGUCGUCAAAAUAGGGAAGGUUUAGAAAAAUGGACUGUUAUGCUUACCUAAUGAAAGACAGUCAUAGCUGGGGCCUUUGCAGGUGCCCAUGGCUACCCCUUGAGAUUGGAGAAAUUGGUAGGAGCUGAAGGAGAAAUUGUUGAAGGUGUGGAUCAGUUUCGCCAGACAGAGGAGAGAGGUGGUGGAGGGGAUCUGGUUGGGUCUUUUGUUGAGAAGGAAGCAGGGAGCUUUAUAGACCUUCUUGAUGGUGGAUAGAAGUGUAUAGGGACUAGAUAUUCCUGGUCAGGGCCAGUGAAUUGAAGGUUGUUGAGGAGACUGAGAGCAUGUGAAGCGUAAUGGGUGUUGGUGACAAGGGACAGAACCAAGGGGGAUAGAACAGAGUCCAGGUGCAUGGACACGUUCAGUUGGAAAAGAGCAGUUGGAGAAAAACAUUUCUGUACCAGGACCAUCAGGUCUGUGGAUCUUGUGUGAAGGUAGAAAGGAGCAGUCCGGCACAACAGAGUUAUGAGUUUGGUGGCAGUAGAUAGGAGAACUCCAGAGUUAGUGAGAUAGUAAUUGUGUCAGAGAUCAUUUUCUGUUAGCUCUGAGUGAAGUCCUUUUCAAGGGGUAAGAGGAGGUGGCCUCAGCAAGCUAGAGGUCAGUCCGCCACACAUUCAGCACCCCCUUUGUCUGCGGGUUUGAUGGUAAGAUUGGGAUUGGUGCAUAAAAGUGGAGAGCGUAGAGUACGUUCAGAGGGGUUAGUGUUCAACGAGAACAGAGGAGAUCUGAAGUCGAGCUGGUUGAUGUCUUGUCAGCAAUUAGAGAUGUAAAGAUCCAGAAGGAUCAGAGCAGGGAGGCCAAGAAGAGGAAGAGGUUUGGAGACAGGAGAAGGGAUCAUCAGUGUGGGGUGGGGAAUUCUUGCUUGAAUACAGAGGCGACAGUGGAAGAGCUCAGUGUCAUGGAAGGUGUGGUAUAAGCAGUAAUUCAGUUCAACGCCAUUACAGCAUCAGUGACCCAGCUUCUUUUAUUUUCUUUCUUUCUUUCUUUAUUUUGGCGUGCACCUGCAUGCGUGUGAGUCUGCGUGUGCAUGCGUGCGUCCAUGAUGAUGUCUUUUUCAUGGCUCUUUACAAGGCGGGGAGUGAGAGAGAGACUGUGUGGUGCGCCACUCCUCACACAGAUAUUUUCGCAGUGUUUUCCCUUUUUUUUUUACGAGGUCGAGUUGUGAUCUGGACACUCAACCCGGCACGGAUGGAAAGCGUACUCGGGGGGUGAGGGGGACCCGACUAGAUUCGAAACCCCGAAUCUCUGCUCCCGGGUCCAGCGCCGAUGUCGUUGCGCCACCAGCCGGCCCAGCGACCCAGCUUCAAUUCCCGCUGCUGUCUGUAAGGAGUUUGCACGUUCUCCCUGUCAAAGUGUGGCUUUCUUCUUGGCGCUCUGUUUUCCUCCCACAUUCCAAGGACGCACGGAUUCGUAGAUUAUUUGGUCAUAUGGAUUAAUUGGGUGGUCCGGGCUCAUUGGAUUGGAAGGGCCUGUCAUCAUGCAGUAUCUCUAA